CCUGGUGUGGCAGAUCUAUCAAAUUUGGUUGAGGGCUCCGUGCUUGCGUUUACUGUCUUGGAUUUCAUCGCUGUUUCGGUCCUUCAUGAGGUCACCGCCACACCUUCAUCUUGGUCACCAUGGUUUCCUCUCUUUUCUCUCUUGUUAUUUACUUCUUUUGAUUUAGCUCAAGUGCAUCUACUAACAACCAGUUAGUUUGCAGUACAACCUCCAUCCGUCACAGCCAAUUGACCCACACAAGCAUAGCUCAACUGCAGCUCUGAAUAAUUCCAUUCUCUGUUCUUAACUGCAGCUCUGACUUGACAGCCUGUCCAGAUUCAGCGCCAAGGAUCUCACUAUGGGGUGCACUAAGAUCUCUCAACAGUUUGGUAGCUCGGGAGAUCUCUCUCAAGUUUUGCAGCUUGGGAGAGACCUCUGAAGUUUGAUUGCUCGGGAGAACGCUUGUGUUGAGGUUGACAGCUCCGAGGCUGCCUUCACUCUCUUGGAUUAUAUCAUCGUUUUGGUCGCUCACGGGGCUGCCGUCAACGCCACAGUCUUCAUAUUGGUCUUUGCAGCAUUGACAAAUAACAACACCAGUUCAGCCUCAUCAGUCACAAUCAAUUGAUCCACACAAACAUCCAGAAGAUGGCUGAACUGCAGCUCUGAUUCCCCGUGUUCUUUGACCUUCCUCUCCAGGUUCAGUGCCAAGGAUCUCAGCGUGGGGU